UGUUCCUCGGAACAUGAAGUGCUUGAUGCCAUGCUUCCAAGAAAAGCCUCUAAGCUUCAGGUAAAAAGAGACCGUACUCUAAACCGACACAGGUGGUCAGGUAGAGAAUACCAAGGCGCUUGAGAGAACUCGGGUGAAGGAACUAGGCAAAAUGGCACCGUAACUUCGGGAGAAGGUGCGCCGGUUUUGGUGAAAGGGCUUGCCCCUCGAGCUGAGGCCGGCCGAAGAUACCAGUCCCCUGCAACUGUUUAUUAAAAACACAGCACUCUGCAAACACGUAAGUGGACGUAUAGGGUGUGACGCCUGCCCGGUGCCGGAAGGUUAAUUGAUGGGGUUAGCGUAAGCGAAGCUCUUGAUCGAAGCCCCGGUAAACGGCGGCCGUAACAAUAACGGUCCUAAGGUAGCGAAAUUCCUUGUCGGGUAAGUUCCGACCUGCACGAAUGGCGUAAUGAUGGGGGAGCUGUCUCCACCCGAGACUCAGUGAAAUUGAAAUCGCGGUUAAGAUGCCGUGUACCCGCGGCUAGACGGAAAGACCCCGUGAACCUUUACUGUAGCUUUGCACUGAACUUUGAACCUAUCUGUGUAGGAUAGGUGGGAGGCUUUGAAGUCGAGACGCUAGUUUCGAUGGAGCCGUCCUUGAAAUACCACCCUGGUAUGUUUGAGGUUCUAACCUAGGUCCGUUAUCCGGACUGGGGACAGUGUAUGGUGGGCAGUUUGACUGGGGCGGUCUCCUCCCAAAGAGUAACGGAGGAGCACGAAGGUUGGCUAAUCCUGGUCGAAAAUCAGGAGGUUAGUGUAAUGGCACAAGCCAGCUUGACUGCGAGACAGACAUGUCGAGCAGGUACGAAAGUAGGUCAUAGUGAUCCGGUGGUUCUGUAUGGAAGGGCCAUCGCUCAACGGAUAAAAGGUACUCCGGGGAUAACAGGCUGAUACCGCCCAAGAGUUCACAUCGACGGCGGUGUUUGGCACCUCGAUGUCGGCUCAUCACAUCCUGGGGCUGAAGCCGGUCCCAAGGGUAUGGCUGUUCGCCAUUUAAAGUGGUACGCGAGCUGGGUUUAGAACGUCGUGAGACAGUUCGGUCCCUAUCUGCCGUGGGCGUUGGAGAUUUGAGAAGAGUUGUUCCUAGUACGAGAGGACCGGAAUGAACGCACCUCUGGUGUUCGGGUUGUCAUGCCAAUGGCAUCGCCCGGUAGCUACGUGCGGACGGGAUAACCGCUGAAAGCAUCUAAGCGGGAAGCCUCCUUCAAGAUUAGAUCUCCCUGGAACUUUAAGUUCCCUGUAGAGCCGUUGAAGACUACGACGUUGAUAGGUUGGGUGUGGAAGCGUCGCGAGGCGUUGAGCUAACCAAUACUAAUUGCUCGUGCGGCUUGAUC
rnacentral:rRNA from 1 species